rnacentral:sRNA from 1 species
UUCUUUUACACCACAGCAAUAAGACGUUGAGAAUGACUCAACAUAACGUGUCAGAUAAAAGUUGGUGUAGCCUAUGCUUACUUCAAACAUGAAAUACUGGUCCUGGAUGGGCGCAUUUUCCGUAUCGCUGCUCUUCUGGGCUGAACUGAUCUGGAUCGUUGCCCGUUAACGAUAACGCCAGAGACGCUAAACGCUAUCUGGCAUCCCUGUUCGAUCAUGGCCAUAAACCUCGCUGCGGCGAGGUUUUUG